UACAGAGGUCCCAAGCGUUGUUCGGAUUCAUUGGGCGUAAAGGGUGUGUAGGUGGCGCCGUAAGUCGGGUGUGAAAUCUCGGGGCUUAACUCCGAAACUGCAUUCGAUACUGCGGUGCUUGAGGACUGGAGAGGAGACUGGAAUUCAUGGUGUAGCAGUGAAAUGCGUAGAGAUCAUGAGGAAGACCAGUGGCGAAGGCGGGUCUCUGGACAGUUCCCGACACUGAGACACGAAGGCCAGGGGAGCAAACGGG
rnacentral:rRNA from 1 species